rnacentral:rRNA from 1 species
GUUUGAUCCUGGCUCAGAUUGAACGCUGGCGGCAUGCCUUACACAUGCAAGUCGAACGGUAACGCGGGGCAACCUGGCGACGAGUGGCGAACGGGUGAGUAAUGCAUCGGAACGUGCCCAGUAGUGGGGGAUAGCUCGACGAAAGUCGAAUUAAUACCGCAUACGACCUACGGGUGAAAGGGGGGAUCGCAAGACCUCUCGCUAUUGGAGCGGCCGAUGUCAGAUUAGGUAGUUGGUAGGGUAAAAGCCUACCAAGCCUGUGAUCUGUAGCUGGUCUGAGAGGACGACCAGCCACACUGGGACUGAGACACGGCCCAGACUCCUACGGGAGGCAGCAGUGGGGAAUUUUGGACAAUGGGCGCAAGCCUGAUCCAGCCAUGCCGCGUGCGGGAAGAAGGCCUUCGGGUUGUAAACCGCUUUUGUCAGGGAAGAAAAGCGCUAGGUUAAUACCUUGGCGUCAUGACGGUACCUGAAGAAUAAGCACCGGCUAACUACGUGCCAGCAGCCGCGGUAAUACGUAUGGUGCAAGCGUUAAUCGGAAUUACUGGGCGUAAAGCGUGCGCAGGCGGUUGUGCAAGACAGAUGUGAAAUCCCCGGGCUUAACCUGGGAACUGCAUUUGUGACUGCACGGCUAGAGUGCGGCAGAGGGGGAUGGAAUUCCGCGUGUAGCAGUGAAAUGCGUAGAUAUGCGGAGGAACACCGAUGGCGAAGGCAAUCCCCUGGGCCUGCACUGACGCUCAUGCACGAAAGCGUGGGGAGCAAACAGGAUUAGAUACCCUGGUAGUCCACGCCCUAAACGAUGUCAACUGGUUGUUGGGAGGGUUCCUUCUCAGUAACGUAGCUAACGCGUGAAGUUGACCGCCUGGGGAGUACGGCCGCAAGGUUAAAACUCGAAGGAAUUGACGGGGACCCGCACAAGCGGUGGAUGAUGUGGUUUGAUUCGACGCAACGCGAAAAUCCUUACCUACCCUUGACAUGCCAGGAACUUGCCAGAGAUGGCUUGGUGCUCGAAAGAGAACCUGGACACAGGUGCUGCAUGGCCGUCGUCAGCUCGUGUCGUGAGAUGUUGGGUUAAGUCCCGCAACGAGCGCAACCCUUGUCAUUAGUUGCUACAUUUAGUUGAGCACUCUAAUGAGACUGCCGGUGACAAACCGGAGGAAGGUGGGGAUGACGUCAGGUCAUCAUGGCCCUUAUGGGUAGGGCUACACACGUCAUACAAUGGCCGAUACAGAGGGCUGCCAACCCGCGAGGGGGAGCCAAUCCCAGAAAAUCGGUCGUAGUCCGUAUCGCAGUCUGCAACUCGACUGCGUGAAGUCGGAAUCGCUAGUAAUCGCGGAUCAGCUUGCCGCGGUGAAUACGUUCCCGGGUCUUGUACACACCGCCCGUCACACCAUGGAAGCGGGUUCCGCC